rnacentral:lncRNA from 1 species
GCGAGCUCGGGAGAGGCGGGCCGGCCCCCGCUCUUGCAGGACCUGGGCACCGGGCAAAGGGUCCCCGCUCCUCGAGAGGAGGCAGGCGACGAAGAUACGGACCCACAUUCUUUCAGGGCGGCGAGACCCCUGCAGCACCCGCCCGGAGUAGGAAGGGACUGAAGAUCUGAAGCUGAUGGUGACUGGGUCUGUCUAGACGCAGCUCGGUAAAAGAGAUGGAUGGAGACGAGAGAGUGGCCGAGGGACAGGCCCGCGGGGAAGCCAGGGGAAGAGCCGAGAAGGACGUGGUCUCAAGGGCUGGGGCGGUGCCCAUGAGCCUGGCGGAUCUCUGCUGCGACCCUUCCGGGCCGCGGUCUGCACUGACUCCUUCACUCCUCUGGUGCUCCCCACCAGCUGCGGUGAUUUAUGGCUGGGCCAGGCCUGACGACCUUGGACGGAUAACUAAUGACAGACACCUCAUUUGCCUAGGGGUCCCGUUUGCCUGCGAGGCAGGGUGGGGGACAUCCCCACUUCUGCCUGUGUCAUCUGGGGACCUCUGAGAACAGACUGCUGCCUCCUCCUCUUGGUUCUGCCAACUUCUUGGUCCUUGUUUGAGAUGCCCUGAUUCCUGGUCUCCAUUAGAACCCUGGGAGAGGGUCCUGGUCCUUCCUUUGUUGGCUCCUCUUUAGCCAUUGUCAGCUCUGAGUCCAAAGAAGACACCCGAUGAAGGCUACAGAGGCAAGAGCACUCUGCUUCCAUUAAACACAAGUGACAACUGCCUUGGAGGUAUAGGGCAGUGGGAGUGGCCUCGGGCUUGAGGGUAACGGACAGUCUCUGUGACACAAGUAGACUCCUGUGUGGACAUCUAUCUGUGUAUUCUCAGAUUCAUUCAGUAGGCCAGGACCAUGUGAAUGCCAUGCGCUGGGGGUGCAGGAGCCAUACUUGGUAGCAUGUAGAACAGGUGUGUAAAGAGAGAGACUCCUUGUGGAGCAGAAACGUCAG